AAUAUAAAUUAAACAUAAUCAAAGAAGGGAUUCAGGAUUGUUAGCAAGAACAUCAUUAGACCAAGGGUGAAUUAAUUGAAGGGAGGUGUGCAACGAAAGUUGCUUUGGACCAAAGGCCCAACCUCCAAAUAUCCAAAUUGGGUUCAAGAACAACCACCCAAGAUCUGCCUCCAUAGAAGCACCUUCACAAGAAAGGCAUCGGUUCAAAGAAGAAUAAAGGACAACUUUCACGGUGUCGAAAAAAAUGCUCAGUGGCAUUCGCAACUCAAUGAACAUCUCAUCUCAACAUCCGAUGUACUCUUCUGUUCGUGGUUGAUUGAGAUGAAGAUGAAGCUUCACGUUAGUGCAUUUCCCCUUGAGAUGGAGAUGAAGAUAUUCAGAUUCAUGUGUGUUGCAUUGAGAUGAAAAUGAAGACGUUCAGAUGCAUGCGUUGUGAAUUGGUUAUGAUUUUUGUUAUGGAAUUGCUUUGGUUUGGACACAGAUAUGGAUCAUUGCAUUGGAAUUUCUUGUUGAAAGUUGCUUGCUUGGAUGUUUGGGAAUUGAUUGGAACUAUGCAUUGGAUUAUUGUAAUUUUGUUGUAACAUGACUUGUUGUAUAUGUAGGAUUUAAAUUGUAAAUUUUGUAAGAUAAAAUUGAAUGUAAAGUUGGGUUUAUAAAAUGGUGUAAAUCUUGUAUGGAAUUGUAUGUAAAAGAUGGAAUUUGAAAUUGGAAUUGUAGUGGUUUAUGUGUGAA